rnacentral:ncRNA from 1 species
CACCACCCAUCGCUACUAUCGAUUGAAUGGUUUAAUAAGGUCAUUGGAUUGUUGUCGUUGUAGUGGCUUUUCUGCUCGACUGAUGCUGAGAUGACCUCAUUUGAAUAUUUAGAGAAAGUAAAGGUCGUAGCAAGGUUUCCGUAGGUGAAUCUGCGGAAG